GCCUUUGUGGUGUAGUGGUCAGCACGCUCGGCGCGUAUUCGAGAAGUCCGUGGUUCGAGUCCCGGCGAGGGCA
rnacentral:tRNA from 1 species